rnacentral:rRNA from 1 species
UACGAAGGGGGGCUAGCGUUGCUCGGAAUCACUGGGCGUAAAGGGCGCGUAGGUGGCGCGACAAGUCGGUGGUGAAAGUUCGACGCUCAACGUCGAAUCGGCCACCGAUACUGUUGGGCUUGAGCACUGUAGAGGCUAAUGGAAUUCCGGGUGUAGCGGUGAAAUGCGCAGAUAUCAGGAGGAACACCGGUGGCGAAGGCGGGUCUCUGGGCAGUAACUAACGCUGGAGGAGCGAAAGCGUGGGGAGCGAACAGG